rnacentral:rRNA from 1 species
AGUUUGAUCCCGGCUCAGAUUGAACGCUAGCGGGAUGCUUUACACAUGCAAGUCGAACGGCAGCGCGAGAGAGCUUGCUCUCUUGGCGGCGAGUGGCGGACGGGUGAGUAAUAUAUCGGAACGUGCCCAGUAGCGGGGGAUAACUACUCGAAAGAGUGGCUAAUACCGCAUACGCCCUACGGGGGAAAGGGGGGGAUCGCAAGACCUCUCACUAUUGGAGCGGCCGAUAUCGGAUUAGCUAGUUGGUGGGGUAAAGGCUCACCAAGGCAACGAUCCGUAGCUGGUUUGAGAGGACGACCAGCCACACUGGGACUGAGACACGGCCCAGACUCCUACGGGAGGCAGCAGUGGGGAAUUUUGGACAAUGGGGGAAACCCUGAUCCAGCCAUCCCGCGUGUAUGAUGAAGGCCUUCGGGUUGUAAAGUACUUUUGGCAGAGAAGAAAAGGUACCUCCUAAUACGAGGUACUGCUGACGGUAUCUGCAGAAUAAGCACCGGCUAACUACGUGCCAGCAGCCGCGGUAAUACGUAGGGUGCAAGCGUUAAUCGGAAUUACUGGGCGUAAAGCGUGUGUAGGCGGUUCGGAAAGAAAGAUGUGAAAUCCCAGGGCUCAACCUUGGAACUGCAUUUUUAACUGCCGAGCUAGAGUAUGUCAGAGGGGGGUAGAAUUCCACGUGUAGCAGUGAAAUGCGUAGAUAUGUGGAGGAAUACCGAUGGCGAAGGCAGCCCCCUGGGAUAAUACUGACGCUCAGACACGAAAGCGUGGGGAGCAAACAGGAUUAGAUACCCUGGUAGUCCACGCCCUAAACGAUGUCAACUAGCUGUUGGGGCCGUUAGGCCUUAGUAGCGCAGCUAACGCGUGAAGUUGACCGCCUGGGGAGUACGGUCGCAAGAUUAAAACUCAAAGGAAUUGACGGGGACCCGCACAAGCGGUGGAUGAUGUGGAUUAAUUCGAUGCAACGCGAAAAACCUUACCUACCCUUGACAUGUCUGGAAAGCCGAAGAGAUUUGGCCGUGCUCGCAAGAGAACCGGAACACAGGUGCUGCAUGGCUGUCGUCAGCUCGUGUCGUGAGAUGUUGGGUUAAGUCCCGCAACGAGCGCAACCCUUGUCAUUAGUUGCUACGCAAGAGCACUCUAAUGAGACUGCCGGUGACAAACCGGAGGAAGGUGGGGAUGACUUCAAGUCCUCAUGGCCCUUAUGGGUAGGGCUUCACACGUCAUACAAUGGUCGGGACAGAGGGUCGCCAACCCGCGAGGGGGAGCCAAUCUCAGAAACCCGAUCGUAGUCCGGAUCGCAGUCUGCAACUCGACUGCGUGAAGUCGGAAUCGCUAGUAAUCGCGGAUCAGAAUGUCGCGGUGAAUACGUUCCCGGGUCUUGUACACACCGCCCGUCACACCAUGGGAGUGGGUUUCACCAGAAGUAGGUAGCCUAACCGUAAGGAGGGCGCUUACCACGGUGGGAUUCAUGACUGGGGUGAAGUCGUAACAAGGUAGCCGU